UAUAAAGCUAUCCCUUAGUCGCCUCUUGCGACGUCCAUGGGAAAGAUAUGGAGUGGUUAGAUUCUACAGUUCCCGUAACCGCACAGCAUUUACGCGGAAAAACAUACAGUAAAAACAAGUAAAUAAUAAAUUAACAUCUGCCAAAGCGUAGUAGGGGCGCCGAAAGGAACACCCGCCCUUGAUCAAGAUCUAAAUACAACGUAUCUAGUUCCACCGCUGAAUGUUUAACUACUAAUGGAUGAUAACGAUGUGGGACCUUCACAAUAUUCUAAACGUUUCAAAGCAAACUGAAUAAACUAUGUCAAUAGAGGUAACAACACGUAAUUUUGUAUUCAUUGUGAAGGUGAACGCUUAGUCUUGCAUGUUUAAUAAUCAUCUAGUACCGUUUUAGUCGCCGAUGUAUCUAUAUAGGUUUAAUUAUAUUAUAGUUUUAAUUUUAAUACAAACUUACAACCAUAAAGUCACGACUUUUUUACUUAAGGGAUAGUCAUUUUAGUAUUACUUGCAUUACAAGGCAAUGUAAUAAUGUUUAUAUUAAUAAAUUGAAUUGAUUGAAAUAUCAUUUCGAAAAGACUUAAAUAACGAGAGUUUUAAAUAUAUUUUACAAAAUCAUUGUGUAUCAAUAAUCAGUUUAAAAUAUGUUGACAAAGUAAACUAGCUUUGAUUAUUAAUAACUUAUUCUUUUCUAUUAGCAUAUUUAUUUAUAAGCUGUAACUUUUAAAAAUGUUGCCAACUUUUGAUGCAUUAUUAUGUACGGCAUUUCCCUCAUACUCGUACUAUUUUUCUCCGAGCUUUGCAAAAAAGAAUUUAGUCCGUCUACAUUAUGUCGUUUUUAGAUAAUUUUUACAUUUUACACAUAAUCAGUUUAGUGACAGUUGCAAAAUCAGCUUAUCAUCACAGUAAUACAAUCUUAUCAUUUGACACAUAACUGGCAUAUCGUAUAAGAAAACGCUCUAAGACUCUUGAUUAUAUAAACAUUAUGUUAUUUAGAGAUGUCUGAAUAAUUCAGACACGCCCGUCAACCUCUUAACGCCAUCCAAACAACCUUGACCUAACCUUAAGCAGGUCCCGCCUUAAGUCGGUCCAAGUCAAUAGAGUGCCUAGCCGUGAACAGGUCCCGCCUUAAGUCGGUCCAAGUCAAUAGAGGGCCUAGCCUUGAACAGGUCCCGCCUUAAGUCGGUCCAAGUCAAUAAGAGGGCCUAUCCUUGAACAGGUCCCGCCUUAAGUCGGUCCAAGUCAAUAGAGGGCCUAGCCUUGAACAGGUCCCGCCUUAAGUCAGUCCAAGUCAAUAGAGGGCCUAGCCUUGCACAGGUCUCGCCUUAAGUCGGUCCAAGUCAAUAAGAGGGCCUAGCCUUGAACAGGUCCCGCCUUAAGUCGGUCCAAGUCAAUAGAGGGCCUAGCCUUGAACAGGUCCCGCCUUAAGUCGGUCCAAGUCAAUAGAGGGCCUAGCCUUGAACAGGUCCCGCCUUAAGUCGGUCAAAGCUGACCCAGAGCCCGAAACUCGCCACAAAGGACUGGGAGAGGAGAGAUUCAUACAUACAUAUAAUAACGCCUCUUUUCCAGAGGGGUUAGCAGAGACUACAUCUUUCCACUAGC
rnacentral:lncRNA from 1 species